UAGACUAAGAUUUAUUUUUGCAGUACACUUAUAUCAUAAACUUCCCUAGUAUCGGGAAAAAUCUACACCAUUCAUCUUUUUGGUCAAUUGAUUAAGCGAUUCACCAACAAUUUUGUACUUCCAUGCUUAAUCCAUUUGCAUAGGGAUGCUAAAAAAAUGCGAUGUUUUUGUGCGAUAGGUCGAGCGAAUUUUGCGCAAGAUGCGAUCUCUUUUUUUGAUCAAAGCAUGCCAAGCAUUGUAUAUCACACUAAGCAGAACAAUUUUGGAAAGUAUGGAUCGAACAAAUUCAGAUUCCUUGCUGUGGGGGCAAGCCAUCUGAUUCAGGAGCUAAUGAACAAAACUCGCGGGCCGCUCACGCAAUUCUUGAGCAAGUAGGGCAGAGGAUUGUGGAUUGUGGCGCUUCAUCAUUCCCACAUUCCUGAAGUCAAGAUGGGCCCAGUGGACACAACACCAGCUCAUGUAGUACUGCGGCGGCUCCAUUUCGUGUAGAUCUGCGGCGGAUAUGCAAUUAGGCCACGUCCGGCCCCGGACGUGAAGGAAGACCAGCGAUCCCCUACCAUCUCACCAUUUGCCAUGCCCAUCAUUGCUGACAUCUACAAAGCCGAGUGUCUUGCUUGUGACCAUUUUCCCGCACAGUGGCAGGAGUAGCACUACCGCUUCGUUGAUGGACAGGGAGAGUGCACACAAUUGGGCGGUACAUAAACAGACAGCAGUUCUUUGGGCGUAGGCAAAGACCACCGAUAUUGAAUGUCAAGCCGCCCUUGCCCAGUAGAAUGAUUGGCUUUUCCUCUGGAGCAGCGGCGCAGUGGCUGGAGCGGCACGCCUUCUAAAUGGACUGAGCAAAGAUUUGAACAAAAUCAUACAGCUCCAGCUUGGGAAUAUGUGUGUGUCACGCACAGUUCUAUUUGCAGUUGCGGUUGCAGCUGCAGUUAUUGUUGAAGCGCCAAACGUCCCGCGCGCUAUGCCACCUACUUCUUAUGUUCCUUUAGUUCUUCCGUAACAAUAAAUUCUAUAUAAAACACGA